CCUACGGGAGGCAGCAGUGAGGAAUAUUGGUCAAUGGGCGCGAGCCUGAACCAGCGAAGUAGCGUGAAGGAUGACUGCCCUACGGGUUGUAAACUUCUUUUAUAAAGGAAUAAAGUGAGGCACGUGUGCCUUUUUGUGUGUACUUUAUGAAUAAGGCACGGCUAACUCCGUGCCAGCAGCCGCGGGAAUACGGAGGAUCCGAGCGUUAUCCGGAUUUAAUGGGGUUAAAGGGAGCGUAGAUGGGUAUGUAAGUCAGUUGUGAAAGUCUGGGGCUCAACCGUAAAAUUGCAGUUGAUACUGGCAGCCUGGAGUGCAGGAGAGGUAGGCGGAAGUCGUGGUGUAGCGGUGAAAUGCUUAGAUAUCACGAAGAACUCCGAUUGCGAAGGCAGCUUACUGAACUGCAACUGACGUUGAUGCUCGAAAGUGUGGGGAUCAAACAGGAUUAGAUACCCCUGUAGUC
rnacentral:rRNA from 1 species